UGGAUCAUGAGAAAGAAGAACACUCUCAGCAAAAAGAUUUGAAGACGUUCCAUCCUAUAAGGGAUGUAAGUAUUAAAAUGGGUUUACAAUAAUUUUUGUAAAGGAGGUGGAAUAGUAGUGACAUAAUGAAACACAAGAUAGCAAAAAAAAAAAAUACAUGUUCAACUGUAGAAGAAAUAUCUUCUAUUGUUACACAGAGUUUAUGCAAGCCUCCACUUGGUGACAAUUUUUUCAAAAAUGUUUGAAGUUGUCUAUUAUUUCUUAUAUAAAGUGGAUGAAGCUCUAAAUUAGAGUGUGACUUAUAACUAAGUUUCACAAGAUUUGACAACCUAUCAAUUUGAAAAUCAUCUACAAGAACUUCAACCAACUCGGCAAAAGUAAUGUUCUCAUCUAUGUUGAC
rnacentral:lncRNA from 1 species